AGAAGCAUAGCGUAAUUUCCAAGAGCAUUUUUUGAGUUUGUUUUUCAAUUUUAUCAACUUUUCCCGUUUUUCCAAGUCAAGAAGUUCCAGGUUAUAUUCAUUCUGCACAUGAGGAAACUUAAAUAGAAGCAUGGUUCGACAAUAUCAAAGAAAAAAUGAGGCUCUCGACCCCAAAAAUCUCUGGGUGGCCCUGAAUAUGGUAAAGAGUGGUUCACCGGUAAGAACAGUUGCCAAAUUCUACGGAAUCAAUCAUGAAACCCUCCGACGAUAUUGGAAGGCAAGAAAAGGAAAUAUAGAAGAAGCAAAACCCACAGAUCCCGCAAAAUCUGGUCGUCCGACCGUGUUCAGUGAAGAACAGGAAGAAGCUUUAAAAAAGUAUUUGUUGAGUUGCAUAGAUUGCAACAUUGAUUUUACUGUAAAAGAUAUCAGAACAAUGGCAUUUGACUUUGCGCAAGAAUUAGGAGUAUCCACGCCGUCUUGGAAUGACAGAAAAAUGGCUGGAAUUGAAUGGUUUUAUGGUUUCCGGAAACGACAUCCAGACUUUUUAGCAGCUGAGCAAAGAGUUUCCAAAAAGAACAAAAACUCUUUGGUAUCUGAGCAGAGAACUCUUAAAACGAUCAAAAAGUCUGAAAUAAAAGCAUCUAAAGAAAGACCAAAAAAGAAGGAACUUCCGCCAAAGACAACACAUAAAAUAUUUUUAAAAAUAUCGUAAUUAUCUUUACUGUUUUUAAUAAAUAAUUGAAGU